rnacentral:rRNA from 1 species
AGAGUUUGAUCCUGGCUCAGGAUGAACGCUGGCGGCGUGCCUAACACAUGCAAGUCGAACGGCCUCGCAAGAGGCAGUGGCGCACGGGUGCGGAACACGUAGCUGACCUGCCCCAAAGUGGGGGAUAACCGGCGGAAACGCUGGCUAAGACCGCAUACGCUGGUGAGGGCCAGAAGCUCACCAGGAAAGCUUGAUGCGCGUUGGGAGGGGGCUGCGGCCCAUCAGGUAGUUGGUGUGGUAACGGCGCACCAAGCCGACGACGGGUCGGGGGUCUGAGAGGACGACCCCCCACACUGGGACUGAGACACGGCCCAGACUCCUACGGGAGGCAGCAGUGAGGGAUAUUGCGCAAUGGGGGAAACCCUGAUGCAGCGACGUCGCGUGAGGGAUGACGGAUUUCGGUCUGUAAACCUCUUUUGAUAGGGAAGAACUUUGACGGUACCUAUCGAAUCAGCCCCGGCUAACUACGUGCCAGCCGCCGCGGUAAUAC